GGAAAGUUUCAAUGAUCAUUAGAAAUACAGGUGAUGGACAUUCAAGAAACAUCGUUCUCUUUUAAAACACAAUAUUCUGUUUUGUUUUUGUUUUUGUUUUUAAAGAUCCCUGUCUUUUUGUACAUUCCUUAAUAUCUAGUAUUUGUUCCAACACAAUGUUGGUAGCCAGAAGCCACCGACCUGAGGUUGGCAACUCUUAGAGAACGCAGCUUUCUUCUAUAGAACAGCAAGUUGCUACGGUUCAGCCAAAUUCUAUCUGUCUAAUAAAAGGCACAGAUCUCCCUCCGCGCCCCGGCUUGGGCAGGUAACUCACCAGUUCAGCUCCCUCUCCACCGCGCUCUGUGGAAACUGAAAGUGGCCACUGAGCGGGCGCUGUUCGCUAGUUCAUAGACUCUACUGCCGCUGCCGAGAAAUCACGUGGAUUCAAAGUGCCAGCCCCAGGGCGCGCGAGUAGCGUGCCCGGAACCCGCCGCGGCUUGGAGAUCGCAGCGGGACGUGCCUCUCUGACUACUGAGACUGGAGACGAUGUAGGAUGAAGGCAGGAGGAGCCACUGAGCAAAACUUCGUGGAGUUGGGUCCAGGGUCCAGUGGCGACAGCGGCUCAUCACCUGAGACCUGACCUGGACAAGCGCGGCCUCCAGGUGUGUCUCUGCUGGUCCCUGGGUGCAAGGGUUGCCUAGGCUACAGAAGAAAGCUUGGUGCAGGGAUAAGGGAUGGAAAGAGGUGGGCGGUAAGAAAAGGACUACAGGGCCAGCGUCAGCCCUGGAAAGUUCCUGUCUCUGUUCCAAGUUCUACAACCUGCCCUGCCUCUUGUCUUUGUCCCAGAACAGGAGGCCAGGCUCCUCCUGAGGAUGGUUUCUGUGACAUCCCACAGUGAAGCAACUUUCCCAGAAUGCUCUGGGGGAGGAAUGGGGAGACAGUGCAUUAGCACUGUAGGGCAGGGUCAUCAGCACACCCAUGACCCCCAAACCUCAGGCUCAAGUCCUCCUCUUAAGUGCUGGCUACAUCACCUUAGGCCAGUGGUUCUCAGCCUUCCUAAUGCUGGGACCCUUUAAUACUGCAGCCUCACGCUGUGCUGACCCCCAACCAUAACAUUAUUCUCGUUGCUACUUCAUAGCUGUAAUUUUGCUACUGUUACGAAUCAUAAUGAAAUCAUUUGACUUGGCAGAGGUUGGGUCCCCCAGAUUGAGAAACACCGCCCUAGACAAAAGUCUUGACUCUGAGUUUCAGUUCUGUCAUCUGUCCUGAGGACCAGAGAAGGAGCACCUUCCAAUUCCUUCAGAAGAAGUUAGAGCAGAUGUGCUGUGUGCCCAAAACUCUUAAGAAAUCCUUCUACGUUAGUCCCCUUCUUUGGAUCUCAAAUUCCUGUGACCUUCUAACCUCCUCCCUCCCGGGACCGAGCCGGAAAUCUAGAAAGUUCUUGACAGGCAAGAGUGUGUGUGGGGGGGAGUCAUUAUUAUUUUGACUGAUUACUUAUGUGUGACUCUUAGCUUUCCCAACCUUACCUGGCUCGCCUCUUACAAAUAGAUGCCUUGUUUUU
ensembl:lincRNA 9330175E14Rik RIKEN cDNA 9330175E14 gene